rnacentral:tRNA from 1 species
GGUGGGGUGCCAGAGCGGUUUAUUGGACUGGUCUUGAAAACCAGCGAAGGGGCAACUCUUCCGUGGGUUCAAAUCCCACCCCCACCGCCA